ACGGAUGUAGCUCAAUGGAUAGAGCAACGGAUUUCUAAUCCGUCGGUUAUAGGUUCGAAUCCUAUCAUUCGUGCCA
rnacentral:tRNA from 1 species